rnacentral:rRNA from 1 species
GUACACGCUGUGACUAGCAUAUCAAUAAGCGGAGGAAAAGAAACUAACUAGGAUUCCCUCAGUAACGGCGAGUGAAGCGGGAAGAGCUCAAAUUUGAAAUCUUCAAGGUUCUACCUUGACGAAUUGUAGUUUAAAGAAGUGUUUUCUGUUGGAGUUUUGGUAAAAGUUCUUUGGAAUAGGACAUCAUAGAGGGUGAGAAUCCCGUAUUUGACCAUUAUUUUCCAGCUGUGUGAUACACUUUCAAAGAGUCGGAUUGUUUGGGAAUGCAGUCCAAAAUGGGUGGUAAAUUUCAUCUAAAGCUAAAUAUUGGCGAGAGACCGAUAGCGAACAAGUACCGUGAGGGAAAGACGAAAAGAACUUUGAAAAGAGAGUUAAACAGUACGUGAAAUUGUCAAAAGGGAAGCGUUUGACACCAGUGUUGUUUUCUCGAAAAUCAAUUAAAAAAGGCAGGAUUUUGUGUUGUAUUGACUUUAUCAGCUUUCUGCACUCUUUUCUUGUCUUUUUUAAUGCACUUUUCGUUUAACAAGUCAACAUCAAUUUCUUUUGUUGUAAAAGGGUCAUUGGAAGGUGGCUUUCUUUUCGGAGAAAGUGUUUAUAGCCUUUGGCCUCUGCAAUCGGAGAGAUUGAGGUCUGCAGCGUAGAUCCUUCGGGGUUAGAUACAUUUGUGCUAAGUUAUAGCCUUUCAUAGACAACUCGUUGACUAUGAUCAGUCAUGUAGCUUACUCGCUUAUGCUAUUUUACCUACGCUUAGGAUGUUGAAGACUCUACAGAGAUA